AGUAACGGCGAGUGAAGCGGCAACAGCUCAAAUUUGAAAUCUGGCCUUGGCCCGAGUUGUAAUGUGUAGAGGAUGCUUUUGGUGCGGUGCCUUCCGAGUUCCCUGGAACGGGACGCCUUAGAGGGUGAGAGCCCCGUACGGUUGGACGCCUAGCCUCUGUAAAGCUCUUUCGACGAGUCGAGUUGUUUGGGA
rnacentral:rRNA from 1 species